GACGAACGCUGGCGGCGUGCUUAACACAUGCAAGUCGAACGGAAAGGCCCUGCGUUUGUGGGGUGCUCGAGUGGCGAACGGGUGAGUAACACGUGAGUAACCUGCCCUUGCCUUUGGGAUAACUUCAGGAAACUGGGGCUAAUACCGGAUAGGAGCUCCUGCUGCAUGGUGGGGGUUGGAAAGUUUCGGCGGUUGGGGAUGGACUCGCGGCUUAUGAGCUUGUUGGUGGGGUAGUGGCAUACCAAGGCUUUGACGGGUAGCCGGCCUGAGAGGGGGACCGGCCACAUUGGGCCUGCGAGACGGCGCAGACGCGUACGGGAGGCAGCGGUGGGGAGUAUUGCACAAUGGGGGGAAGCCAGAUGCGGCAACGCCGCGUGCGGGAUGACGGCCUUCGGGUUGUAAACCGCUUUCGCCUGUGACGAAACGUGAGUGACGGUAAUGGGUAAAGAAGCACCGGCUAACUACGUG
rnacentral:rRNA from 1 species